ACUCCUACGGGAGGCAGCAGUGGGGAAUAUUGGACAAUGGGCGCAAGCCUGAUCCAGCCAUGCCGCGUGAGUGAUGAAGGCCCUAGGGUUGUAAAGCUCUUUCACCGGUGAAGAUAAUGACGGUAACCGGAGAAGAAGCCCCGGCUAACUUCGUGCCAGCAACCGCGGUAAUACGAAGGGGGCUAGCGUUGUUCGGAUUUACUGGGCGUAAAGCGCACGUAGGCGGACUAUUAAGUCAGGGGUGAAAUCCCGGGGCUCAACCCCGGAACUGCCUUUGAUACUGGUAGUCUUGAGUUCGAGAGAGGUGAGUGGAAUUCCGAGUGUAGAGGUGAAAUUCGUAGAUAUUCGGAGGAACACCAGUGGCGAAGGCGGCUCACUGGCUCGAUACUGACGCUGAGGUGCGAAAGCGUGGGGAGCAAACAGGAUUAGAAACCCCAGUAGUCC
rnacentral:rRNA from 1 species